GUGAUACGUCCUGUAUAUGAUAAAUGCAAUGAAAACGAAACACUGAAAGUCUGUUUGCAAAGCAAUACCCUGAAUUAGACCAGAAGUUUGCGGUUUACAUGGAAACUUGAUUUUGAAAUAUUAAAUAAUUUAAAUAAAUACUUUCAAAAUAUUGAAUAAUCUUAAGGCUCUAGUGCAGGAAGAAUUUUGAACUAUUUAUACGCGGAACUUAACAGGGUGGCUUUUUGAAGCAGCUCCUUUUUUCAAGUAAGAGGAAGGUGAGGUUCCCGGCACAGCCAUAGGGGUGAAACACAUCCACUUCGAGUGCAGCAAGCCAGGAUUUAUCCGUCAUGAGACGAGUUUGCAGCCAAGCAAAUGAGAGAUUACCAGAAAAGCAAAAGGUUCCGCCCAAGCAUUCUUAAAAUGUGUCAGAUACGUUGUGACGCAUUUGCAAUCUGGUUAACAUUUCUUGGAGCGCUGUUAUUAUGGAAGUCCAAGGACGUUUGCGGCUAUGCACUUACAAAUUAAUUGAACAGGUAUUGUGUUAAGAAGCUCACAAAUCUCUGAAAAGAGGUCCAAAACUAUAUUUGUCAAGGUCUCUUACUUAUUCAAUUGCAUGCUGUUCGAAUAAGUAUACAUAGUUGCCCCAGAUUUCUUUGAAGGCCCUUUCUAGUAACUGCCACAAGGUGGUUAGUUGUAUUCGAUAAUAAAAUUGAAACAAUGGGUCAUCUUUUGUACUUACUGAAAGUUUUUAAAAAAACUAUCCACUUCUAUCAUUUCAUUACUUACUUUCAGAAAUCGAAUGUUACAUUCUUUCAUCUUAACGUUUUGCGAGGGUGCAUAAAAGUGCUCAUAAAUUUUUAGAAAAUGGCUUACAUGGUCUCAUACAACUGUUGUAAUCAGCAUCGUAAUUGCCCAU